rnacentral:rRNA from 1 species
UGAGCAAUCUGCCCUUCUCAUCGGAAUAAGCGUUGGAAACGACGUCUAAUGCCGAAUACGACCUCCUUUCGCAUGAUCGGAGGUGGAAAGCUCCGGCGGAGAAGGAUGAGCUCGCGGCCUAUCAGCUAGUUGGUGUGGGUAAUGGCCCACCAAGGCGACGACGGGUAGCCGGCCUGAGAGGGUGACCGGCCACACUGGAACUGAGACACGGUCCAGACUCCUAGG